rnacentral:rRNA from 1 species
AUGAACGCUGGCGGCGUGCCUAACACAUGCAAGUCGAACGGAGAUUACGGACGGAAGUUUUCGGAUGGAAGACUGUAAUUCUUAGUGGCGGACGGGUGAGUAACGCGUGGGCAACCUGCCCUAUACAGGGGGAUAGCAGCUGGAAACGGCUGGUAAGACCGCAUAAGUCGGCGAGACCGCAUGGUUUUGCCGGGAAAUGAGCAAUCAGGUAUAGGAUGGGCCCGCGUCCGAUUAGCCAGUUGGCAGGGUAAAAGCCUACCAAAGCAACGAUCGGUAGCCGGACUGAGAGGUCGGACGGCCACAUUGGGACUGAGACACGGCCCAAACUCCUACGGGAGGCAGCAGUGGGGGAUAUUGCACAAUGGAGGAAACUCUGAUGCAGCGACGCCGCGUGAGUGAAGAAGUAUUUCGGUAUGUAAAGCUCUAUCAGCAGGGAAGAUGAUGACGGUACCUGACUAAGAAGCCCCGGCUAACUACGU